CAGCGCGUAUCCCCGUAAACACGUAACAGUAACAUCGCGGCAUCUGCGCUGGUGGUUAGAACUCUAGUGUACAUCUUUAAUUUCUGUAGUGUACAUCUUAAUUUCUGAUUGGAUGGCAUAUAAUUUAUCAUGUUCAGUUUUUUGGGUCAUUGUUGUUUCUUCUUUGCGAGACUUGCUGGGUGUGGAAGGAGUUCAUACACAAGUUUUGCAAGUGCUGUUACGUGAUCUCAAAAGGAUAUUCAUUAUUCAUAUUUUUUUGCAUCAUGUUGUUGCUAGUAAAGAUACAACUGAUUAGUUUUGUAAUGUACAUUUGAAAUAAUAGCAGCACAAUUCCCAAUAGUUGUCACUUUAUCUCAUGGUUGGUCACAUAAUGGAGCAAUGACUAAAAUAUUAUUAAGUGAAGCAACCUAGGCUGUGAUAGCCAGCAUGUAUAUUCAGGUGUGAUGGCUUGAAAAAUGGUUAAAGGCAUGCUGAAAAGACUGAGAAUUUAAGUGGAAUGCAAAGUUUCAACAAAAUGCACCAACUUGACUCACAAUUACUCAUUUGUGAGAUAAAUUUGAGGAAGCAGGAACUGUCCAGAGUGCGAACAAGAACUAUUCUGAAAGACUAUGAUCAUCCACAGUUCCACAAGAGAAAGAGAAGUCAUUGAAAGGUUUCAAUAAUCUCCUAGAAAGUCUGUGCGGCAAGGGGAAUUCCAAAGACAAGUGUCCAUCGCAUUUGGAAGCAUAUGCAAUGGAAAAGUUUUAUUCCUAGAUUACUCCAGGCUCUGAAUGAGAAUGAUCAUGACUGGAAAAUUGAAUUUUGUGAGUGGUAUCAAGCAAGAUGCCCAGAGGACAAAAAAUUCCCAUACAAGGAUUUUUGGAGUGAUGAUGCCACUUUUAAGUUAAAUCAUUCAGUUAAUCAUCACAAUUAUACCUACAGGCCAGCUGAGAAUCCUCAUGUGACAGUGGAACACCAUGUGAAACUUAACAGUGGAACACCUUGUGAAUCUACCAGGAGUUACAGUGUAGUGUGGUGUGGUGUGGUUUAUCAAUAUGAGACGUUUCAGGAUGGAGAACGGUAUUUCUAGUUCAAUUUGAGCACCUCCCCACUACCUUGGUGAACACUUGCGGACAGAUCAACAGGAGAAAGAGGCAGUACCCGGUACCCUCCACGCUCACCAGAUUUGACCUCUAUAGAUUUAUUUUUUCAGUGAGGCAGCAUGUGAAGCACAAUGCUUAUAGCACGAGACAAGUUACAAUCAGCGAGUUGAAAGUAGCCAAGUAAACUAAUGUUAAUGUUAAUUCAAUACCAUGCAACAAUUAGCAGUGUGUUGGAUUCCAUCAAUCUGCAUUAUCAGCUGUUCAGUUUGAACACUGCUGAUAAAUAACUACACUCCUGGAAAUGGAAAAAAGAACACAUUGACACCGGUGUGUCAGACCCACCAUACUUGCUCCGGACACUGCGAGAGGGCUGUACAAGCAAUGAUCACACGCACGGCACAGCGGACACACCAGGAACCGCGGUUUUGGCCGUCGAAUGGCGCUAGCUGCGCAGCAUUUGUGCACCGCCGCCGUCAGUGUCAGCCAGUUUGCCGUGGCAUACGGAGCUCCAUCGCAGUCUUUAACACUGGUAGCAUGCCGCGACAGCGUGGACGUGAACCGUAAGUGCAGUUGACGGACUUUGAGCGAGGGCGUAUAGUGGGCAUGCGGGAGGCCGGGUGGACGUACCGCCGAAUUGCUCAACACGUGGGGUAUGAGGUCUCCACAGUACAUCGAUGUUGUCGCCAGUAGUCGGUGGAAGGUGCACGUGCCCGUCGACCUGGGACCGGACCGCAGCGACGCACAGAUGCACGCCAAGACCGUAGGAUCCUACGCAGUGCCGUAGGGGACCACACCGCCACUUCCCAGCAAAUUAGGGACACUGUUGCUCCUGGGGUAUCGGCGAGGACCAUUCGCAACCGUCUCCAUGAAGCUGGGCUACGGUCCCGCACACCGUUAGGCCGUCUUCCGCUCACGCCCCAACAUCGUGCAGCCCGCCUCCAGUGGUGUCGCGACAGGCGUGAAUGGAGGGACGAAUGGAGACGUGUCAUCUUCAGCGAUGAGAGUCGCUUCUGCCUUGGUGCCAAUGAUGGUCGUAUGCGUGUUUGGCGCCGUGCAGGUGAGCGCCACAAUCAGGACUGCAUACGACUGAGGCACACAGGGCCAACACCCGGCAUCAUGGUGUGGGGAGCGAUCUCCUACACCGGCCGUACACCACUGGUGAUCGUCGAGGGGACACUGAAUAGUGCACGGUACAUCCAAACCGUCAUCGAACCCAUCGUUCUACCAUUCCUAGACCGGCAAGGGAACUUGCUGUUCCAACAGGACAAUGCACGUCUGCAUGUAUCCCGUGCCACCCAACGUGCUCUAGAAGGUGUAAGUCAACUACCCUGGCCAGCAAGAUCUCCGGAUCUGUCCCCCAUUGAGCAUGUUUGGGACUGGAUGAAGCGUUGUCUCACACGGUCUGCACGUCCAGCACGAACGCUGGUCCAACUGAGGUGCCAGGUGGAAAUGGCAUGGCAAGCCGUUCCACAGGACUACAUCCAGCAUCUCUACGAUCGUCUCCAUGGGAGAAUAGCAGCCUGCAUUGCUGCGAAAGGUGGAUAUACACUGUACUAGUGCCGACAUUGUGCAUG